GUUGGAGUGCUCAGUGGUAGAGCACUUGCCUAGCAACCGCAAGGUCCUGGGUUCGGUCCCCAGCUCCGAAA
rnacentral:tRNA from 1 species